CCCCCAUACCACCCUGAACAUGCCCGAUCUCGUCUGAUCUCGGAAGCUAAGCAGGGUCGGGCCUGGUUAGUACUUGGAUAGUUGAAUACCACAACUUUUAUUAGUCAUAAUUUAAUAGAGCCAGGGGAGGGA
rnacentral:rRNA from 1 species